GAUGAACGCUGGCGGCGUGCUUAAUACAUGCAAGUCGAACGAAGAGCCUUUGCAGCAAUGCGAGGGUUUCUUAGUGGCGAACGGGUGCGUAACGCGUUGGUGACCUGCCCCAAAGUGUGGAAUAACAGUUCGAAAGGACUGCUAAUACCGCAUGUGGUCAUCGGGAUUAGAAGCCGAUGACUAAAGCAGUAAUGCGCUUUGGGAGGGACCUGCGUCCCAUCAGCUAGUUGGUGAGGUAAUGGCCCACCAAGGCUUCGACGGGUAGGGGACCUGAGAGGGUGGUCCCCCACACUGGCACUGAAACACGGGCCAGACACCUACGGGUGGCAGCAGUAGGGAAUAUUGGGCAAUGGGCGAAAGCCUGACCCAGCAACGCCGCGUGCACGAUGAAGGUCUUCGGAUCGUAAAGUGCUUUUCUGAGAGAUGAGAAAGGACAGUAUCUCAGGAAUAAGCCUCGGCUAACUACGUGCCAGCCGCCGCCGUAACAC
rnacentral:rRNA from 1 species